UACAGAGGGGGCAAGCGUUGUUCGGAAUUACUGGGCGUAAAGGGCGCGUAGGCGGCCUGUUAAGUCGAACGUGAAAUCCCUGGGCUCAACCCAGGAACUGCGUCCAAGACUGGGAGGCUUGAAUCCGGGAGAGGGAUGCGGAAUUCCAGGUGUAGCGGUGAAAUGCGUAGAUAUCUGGAGGAACACCGGUGGCGAAGGCGGCAUACUGGACCAACACUGACACUGAGGAGCGAAAGCCAGGGGAGCAAACGGG
rnacentral:rRNA from 1 species